rnacentral:snRNA from 1 species
AUCGCUUCUCGGCCUUUUGGCUAAGAUCAAGUGUAGCAAAAAGACCUCAGACAUUUGUUUAUUGGAAAGAGCACAAAUUAGGUUUAAAUCUUAGCUUUACCACUUACCAUUUGAUUUUGAACAUUUAUGAGUGUUUAGCUAAAUUUUU